rnacentral:rRNA from 1 species
AGCAGCCGCGGUAAUUCCAGCUCCAAUAGCGUAUAUUAAAGUUGUUGCAGUUAAAAAGCUCGUAGUUGAAUUUCGGGAUUCUACCGUUGGUCGGGCUAUCCAGUCUGUACUAGCGUGUAGAAUUUCUACCUUCUGGGGAACCACCAUGUUAUUAAUUUAGCGUGAUGGGAAACCAGGACCUUUACCUUGAAAAAAUUAGAGUGUUCAAAGCAGGCUUACGUCUGAAUACAUUAGCAUGGAAUAAUAAAAUAGGACGGUGGUCCUGUUUUGUUGGUUUCUGAAUCACCGUAAUGAUUAAUAGGGAUAGUUGGGGGCAUUAGUAUUCAAUUGUCAGAGGUGAAAUUCUUGGAUUUAUUGAAGACUAACUUCUGCGAAAGCAUUUGCCAAGGAUGUUUUCAUUAAUCAAGAACGAAAGUUAGGGGAUCGAAGACGAUCAGAUACCGUCGUAGUCUUAACCAUAAACUAUGCCGACUAGGGAUCGGACGAUGUUAAAUAUUAUUGACUCGUUCGGCGCCUUACG